UGACAGACAGUCGAUUAUGGUGUGAUGACCCAAUCUAGUGGGUUCGGUGGUGUAGUGGUUAUCAUGUCUGCUU
rnacentral:precursor_RNA from 1 species